rfam:Setaria italica strain Yugu1 chromosome VII, whole genome shotgun sequence.
UCCAUUGGCGACGAAUAGGUGGUUGCUCAUAUUCUUAAUGGUCUUGAUUAUGAUUAUCACCCCUUUGUGUCUGCUAUGCUUGGCCGUGGGGAUGCUAUUUCCCUUUCAGAUCUAUACUCACAAUUGAUGGAGUACGAUC